AAUGAACGCUGGCGGCAGGCCUAAUACAUGCAAGUCGAGCGAGCGGCGGACGGGUGAGUAAUGUCUGGGAAACUGCCUGAUGGAGGGGGAUAACUACUGGAAACGGUAGCUAAUACCGCAUACCAUCAGAUGUGCCCAGAUGGGAUUAGCUGGUAGGUGGGGUAACUGCUCACCUAGGCGACGAUCCCUAGCUGGUCUGAGAGGAUGACCAGCCACACUGGAACUGCGACACGGUCCAGCCUCCUACGGGAGGCAGCAGUGGGGAAUAUUGCACAAUGGGCGCAAGCCUGAUGCAGUCAUGCCGCGUGUUUGAAGAAGGCCUUCGGGUUGUAAAGCACUUUCAGCGGGGAGGCGUUACCCGCAGAAGAAGCACCGGCUAACUCCGUGCCAGCAGCCGCGGUAAUUC
rnacentral:rRNA from 1 species